rnacentral:tRNA from 3 species
GCGCCCGUAGCUCAAUUGGAUAGAGCAACGGACUUCGGAUCCGUAGGUUAGAGGUUCGACUCCUCUCGGGCGUGCCA